UAUAGGGCGGGGGCAGGGGGUCAGGGUCCGAUGGCGAGUUGAAGAUGCUACGCUGCCGGCUUUGCAGGUGGAGGAAGGGGUCACAAGCCGAGGAAGGCAGGCGGCCCGGAGAAGUUGGAAAAGGCUAGGGAAGGGGUUCUCCCCUGGAGCCUCCAGAUGGACCCGGUGCUGCUGCAGCCCCACUUGAGGCUGACUGUGGACCUCUGACCUCCGAGCCGAGACUGGGCCUCAUUCCCAGAAGGCCUUCGGGGCCAAUUCCCCAAAGCUCACCCUUACCAGGCUGGGGCACGUGUCUGCAAGGGUUAACCGGGUGGCAGACCAGGGUGAAGGCGUAAGGCAGAGAAUAAACACAAAGCCUCUCCCCGAAGCAUCAAUUUUCUUUGAAGCCUGGGUGGGAAGAAAACAAAUCAAAUUAAAAUAAACCCAGCUCUGGCUAUGAAGUCAGCUGCAGAAUUCAGAUAAAGCUUUCUGGGUGAGAAAUGAGACUUCUGAGACAUUUUGCUGUGUGGUGACUGCUGCGUGCUAAACCCCAAAUCAUUGCUCUAGUACAAACGAGAGCCCACAAGCCAAAUUCUGUUUUGUAAAUAAAGUUUUAUUGGAACACA